GGUUGGCUUGCAAAGGUUGAGAUUUUCUGUUCUUCUUAAGUGUCUUUAACUCCUGCUGACAAGAGAAAUGUGAGUCCUCAGAGGCCUUGAGUAAACAGGAAACCUGCAGGGACCAGGGUGAGCUGGAGUUGGAAGAAUGAGAAAAGAUCUAAAUAAAUACUACCCAGAGACCUCUUACUUUCUUUGAAGACUGCAGUGAUCUUUUUAACAGCGCUGUGUAAAAAUGACAUAUGUGAAAUACAAUGAAAUUUGUCGAGAGUUCCAACGCUGAAGAUUAAGUAAAUAUGAUUUUACUCUCUGUACUAAAUCUGCUGAUGAAGAAGCUAAAUUCUGAUCAGCAGCAGUUACAGUAACUAGCUCGCCUGCUUCUCUCAUGCUUGGGAUAAUUCUGCCUCGGAGAUGCCAUUUGCUGAUAUCUCUUUGCCAUGACAGAUGUUUAAGCUGAUACUUCCUCAGAUGACAAGACUGAAAAUAGACUUAACUCCAUUUGAUGGAAACCCCCCAGCAUCAAUGGAACCAGUGCAGACCUCGAGCCCUUUAUCUUGCCUCUCAGACACUACUUUGGCAGCCCCAUAUAUGAUAAUGCACCCUCUUCGUUGAAUUCUGGGAGGUGAAGAUUAAGCUGACAGAUGGUAUCAGCAGAAGAAUGAUUAUGAGUUUUAAAAACCUUGAUAUUUUGGCUUAGUGCACCAUUUUUCAUGCAAAUACUGACAUGGAUAUUAGCAUCCAAUUAAGAAAGUAUAAAAGUGUGCCAUUCUGUUACAGUUUACAUUACAAUCAUUUAAUGUUUCAUUAAAAAUACUAAGAAGGGCUGCUCUGAAAGGGAUAAAAAUCAAUGAUCUAUAUAUCACUUCUGCUGCUUUGCUCUUCUGGCACAAUGUGGCAGUGAAAAUGGGCUAUAAAUGUCUAAAUUAUUCUGUUAAUCUGAGUUGCUUUUUGAAUUUUUUGUGUUCUGUCUUUAUCAAAGGAUUGAUUCAUAUCAGGACACACUCCCUGGUGUUAAGGGAGUGUUAGUAACAUAAAAUGUCAACUCUUCUUUCUUUAUAGGGUAUUUCCAAUUUAUUUCAAUAGGUUAGGUGAUGUCUAAACAUUCACCCUUUGUUAUUUGGACAAGGACUGUCAGUGCAGUUUAAACACCAAAACCACUUGAUUGUCUCACAGACAAAUGUUUUUAAAUGUCCUUUAUUUACUGUUUAGUUUUGGUUUUUUUGAGAAAACCUAUUUUCUUGACACUUCUACUGAAUAAUAACACACUCUGUUAUUAGAAGAAAUGCUCUGACUUGUUGAAUAUCACCACAUUCACAUCACGUUUUAAAAUUAAGGAAUAAAUGGAAGAAAAUUUCCCA